UACGAAGGGUGCUAGCGUUGUUCGGAAUUACUGGGCGUAAAGCGCGCGUAGGCGGCUUUUCAAGUCAGGGGUGAAAUCCCACGGCUCAACCGUGGAAUUGCCUUUGAAACUGUAAAGCUCGAGUGUCGGAGGGGAUAGCGGAAUUGCUAAUGUAGAGGUGAAAUUCGUAGAUAUUAGCAGGAACACCGGUGGCGAAGGCGGCUAUCUGGACGACAACUGACGCUGAGGCGCGAAAGCGUGGGGAUCAAACAGG
rnacentral:rRNA from 1 species